rnacentral:rRNA from 2 species
CAGUGUCUGGUGGGUAGUUUGACUGGGGCGGUCUCCUCCUAAAGAGUAACGGAGGAGCACGAAGGUUGGCUAAUCCUGGUCGGACAUCAGGAGGUUAGUGCAAUGGCAUAAGCCAGCUUGACUGCGAGCGUGACGGCGCGAGCAGGUGCGAAAGCAGGUCAUAGUGAUCCGGUGGUUCUGAAUGGAAGGGCCAUCGCUCAACGGAUAAAAGGUACUCCGGGGAUAACAGGCUGAUACCGCCCAAGAGUUCAUAUCGACGGCGGUGUUUGGCACCUCGAUGUCGGCUCAUCACAUCCUGGGGCUGAAGUAGGUCCCAAGGGUAUGGCUGUUCGCCAUUUAAAGUGGUACGCGAGCUGGGUUUAGAACGUCGUGAGACAGUUCGGUCCCUA